CACCCACUGAGCUUUAUCCCCAGCCCAGAACCCCUAUGUAGGUAUAUUCCUUUACAUUAAUAGUACACACUGUCACUCCCUGAAAAGCUGUCAGUCUCAAAUGACUUAGUGAAUGGAAGGAAACAAAAAGAGGAUAAGUGAUAUUAAGGAGAAAUAAUAGAAUUAGAAAAUUCAUGCUGGUCAGCUUGUUAGCAACAAGGGAUGGUUUCCUGUUGAUAAAGUUCCUGUGGAGUGGGAAUGAUGUCUUACCUGGGGCUGCAGUAGGUAAUUGCAUGUUCUUCAUCUUUGGUCUAACCCCCCAAAUCAAAAUAGUUUUGCCCUUUAUGCAGUAAUCUCCUUUAAAAAUAUGAACAUUCAGACGUUUUUGUCCCACUGAGGAUACCUUGCUUUUAACUUUUCCCCUUUAUCUUCUCUGGACUGGUCACUGUAUCUUCCAUUUCUUCUUGCUCCUCCCCCUUGGAGACUUCUGCAGACCUAUAUAGCGUUUUCUCUAACCGUACUUCUCUGACUCUAAGACCCUGAAAUCUUUUUGAGUGUUUCAGAAUUGGAGUAUUUUGGAUUACAGACUUUCAUAUUAGGGGUGUUUAACCAGUAAAGUCUAUGCAAAUGUUACAAAAUCUGAAAAAUUCUGAAAUCUGAAACAAUUCUGGU
rnacentral:lncRNA from 1 species